rnacentral:rRNA from 1 species
AGCUUGUUGGUGGGGUAAUGGCCUACCAAGGGGAGGAUGGGUAGCCGGCGUGAGAGGGCGACCGGCCACAGUGGGAGUGAGACACGGCCCAGAUUCCUACGGGAGGCAGCAGUGGGGAAUAUUGCACAAUGGGGGAAACCCUGAUGCAGGGACGCAGCGUGCGGGAUGCCGGCCUUCGGGUUGUAAACCGCUUUCAGCAGGGAAGAAGUGAAAGUGACGGUACCUGCAGAAGAAGUACCGGCUAACUACGUGCCAGCAGCCGCGGUAAUACGUAGGGUACGAGCGUUGUCCGGAAUUAUUGGGCGUAAAGAGCUCGUAGGUGGUUGGUCACGUCUGCUGUGGAAACGCAACGCUUAACGUUGCGCGUGCAGUGGGUACGGGCUGACUAGAGUGCAGUAGGGGAGUCUGGAAUUCCUGGUGUAGCGGUGAAAUGCGCAGAUAUCAGGAGGAACACCGGUGGCGAAGGCGGGACUCUGGGCUGUAACUGACACUGAGGAGCGAAAGCAUGGGGAGCGAACAGGAUUAGAUACCUUGGUAGUCCAUGCCGUAAACGUUGGGCACUAGGUGUGGGGGACAUUCCAC